UGAGGAAUAUUGGGCAAUGCCCGCAAGGGUGACCCAGCAACGCCGCGUGGAGGAUGAAGGCCGUAAGGUUGUAAACUCCUGUGAGAAGGGACGAAUGGAUAGUCAUACUAUUUUGACGGUACCUUCAGAGGAAGCCCCGGCUAACUACGUGCCAGCAGCCGCGGUAAUACGUAGGGGGCAAGCGUUGUCCGGAUUUACUGGGUGUAAAGGGAGCGCAGGCGGGUUUGUCAGUCAGUGGUGAAAUCCUACGGCUCAACUGUAGAACUGCCAUUGAUACUGCAAGCCUUGAGUUCAGAAGAGAGAAGCGGAAUUCCAGGUGUAGUGGUGAAAUACGUAGAUAUCUGGAAGAACACCAGUUGCGAAGGCGGCUUCUUGGUCUGUAACUGACGCUCAGGCUCGAAAGCGUGGGUAGCGAACAGG
rnacentral:rRNA from 1 species